CACUCAAAGAAAUGAAACUCAGGUGCUGUUUGCAUUAAAUAGUUAUUUCAACUGAAAUUAUUGAAUAAUUCUGUGUUUUGGAUUCAAAUGAAGAAUGUCAAAUAGCAUGUACUUAACUUUAUAGUUUGUUGUAAUUAACAAACAAUAAUGAGCAUAAUUUAUGUAAGCAAGUUAAUUAAGAUGUACAUCAGGCCUAGAGGGGCGGUUCCCACAGGUACUUGCACAUGCUCAGUAAGAAGAAGGCUGAAGGCGCCACUUUCUGGACUUGUACUCUGCUGUCCUGCCACAUGUCUCGGAUUUCUUCAUAAUCAACGACCAUCCGUUAAUAUUCAGGAAGGAACUUCAAAACUGCACAGCUGUAAAAUUAAGAUUUAAGACGGAUGCCAGACCAGCAACCUAACAUUAGUGGUUAUGAAUGUGGAGAUGCAAGCAAUGUGCUGAAACUCUAUCUACAAGGUACCAAUUACUGAAGCAUUACAAAUUAAAACAUGGGCAUUUUGGUCAAAGACACACAUUUCCAUGCACAUACUAUGACUGCCCUUGUUCAUUCAAAACAUGGAAUGCUCUGAAAACUCAUUUAAGCAGAUGUCAUGUUGAAGAAAUACUUGGAACGAGUGCAGAGCUUGUAACAUUUACAUGUAUUUUGUGUCCAGGAAGUGUCUUUUCAUCGAGUAGAGAGUACUUUUCACACACCAACAACCAUUUAAAAAAAUAUGAGACUGUCCCUUGCAUGUUUCAGAAUUGUUCUUUUCAGACUAAUAUAUAUGCUACCUUUAAAUCUCAUAAAAACAGGAAACAUGGCACUUGGACAGUAAAAGACCUGAAAGAGGAAAUAGUGAAAAUUUGUGAUAUAAGUGAGGACCGCACAUCUGAAGAACAUUGCAGCGAUCUUGCAGGAACUGCCUCUGUUUUAUCAUCUCCCCAUUUAAUUAAUUCUGACACUGAAAAUGAGAACCUGCAAAACAUCAUAAUUGAGAAAUUUGCAUCUGUUCUUUUGAAAUUGGAGAUUUACUCACAUGUACCAAGCUUAGCAGUUGAUGAGUUUCUUGAAGAACUGCAUUUUAUUUUAACCUCUGCUGUAUUGCCUAUAUCAAAAAGUACAGCUAUUGAUAUUUUCAAAAAGCAUGACCUUAAUGUUGAUCAGUCAGUAAUUGAUGAGCUGAGCAUUGCUAUUUCUGCUCACAAUCCCUUGUUAAAAGCAAUAGCUAAGAAUGGUCAUCUAGCUUCAGCUUUUAAACGUAAACAAUUUUAUAAGGAGCAUUUUAAGGUUGUAGAACCUGUUGAGUAUUUACUUGAAGGAAGGCCUAACAACAAAACGUUCCAAUAUGUUCCCUUAAUCAAGUCCCUACAACAACUGCUCAGUCGAAAUGAUGUGAUCGAUAAAGUUGUUGAUAGUCUUACUGUCUCUUCUGUGACUCAACAGCAGUAUUUGUCUUUCAAAGAUGGUGAACACUACAAGAACAAUCAGUUUUUUUCAGGUGAACAACUAAGACUCUCAGUAUGCCUGUAUAUAGAUGACUUUGAAGUUUGUAAUCCAUUGGGAACAUCGAGGAAGAAGCACAAACUGUGUGUUGUUUAUUGGACUUUAGGUAAUUUGCCACCUGGUUCAAGUUCAGCCUUGUCCUCAAUUUAUCUUUCAUUAUUGUGCAAAAGUGAUUAUGUUAAAUCAUUUGGGUACAAAAAAAUAUUUGAGCCCCUUUUGUGUGAUAUAAGGAUCUUGGAACAGCAAGGGUUGUUUAUUCCACAGCUUGGGUCAUUUAUAAAGGGUACAGUACAAUGUGUAAUUGCUGAUAACCUUGCUGCUCAUGGGCUUGCUGGGUUUCUAGAGAGUUUUUCCAGCAAGUAUUUUUGCCGAUUUUGUACAGCGCAGAUUGAUGACAUUCAGUCACAGGAGGUGAAAUCAGGAGCUUUCCACCUCAGAAGUAAAGAAAGACAUCAGCUUCAUGUCAGAAAAGCUGAGGAAGAGCAGGUUCACUGUUUUGGUGUUAAAAGAGCUUGUGUGUUGACAGACAGUCUAUCGCACUUUGAUGUCCUUAAUGGUUAUCCCCCAGACAUCGCACAUGAUCUUUUUGAGGGCAUAGUUCCAGUUGAACUAGCGCACUGCAUUACUGCACUGCUGUCAAAAAAGUACUUUUCUCUUGACCAAUUCAAUAAUCUAAUACGUUUGUUUCCAUACAAGUGGGGGGACAAGACAAACCGCCCACAUUUGUUAACACAAACCUACAGAAAUAAAAAAACAAUAGGGGGAAAUGCCCACGAGAACUGGUGUCUUCUCAGAUUGCUUCCUUUGAUGGUUGGGAAUCUUGUCCCCCCAGAUGAACCUGUGUGGCAGGUCAUUUUGGAUUUAAAGGAUAUUGUGGAAGUAGUUGUCGCCCCCAUUCAUUAUGCAGAAACAAUUGCAUAUUUGGAGUGCAAAAUUUCAGAGCACAGAAAAAAAUACCAGGAAGCCUUUCCUGAUCAAAGAUUGUUGCCAAAACAUCAUUUUCUAGAACAUUAUCCAGAGAUGAUUAAAUGUUUUGGUCCUCUUGUAGCAUUAUGGACGAUGCGAUUUGAAGCCAAACAUAGCUUUUUUAAGCAGAUUGUUAGGCACACGAAGAACUUCAGAAAUAUUACAUUGUCCUUGGCAAAAAAACACCAACUGAUUGUGGGCUAUCAUAUGGCCAGACCUGAAAGUGAACAAUAUUCCCCAGAAGUAACACAAGUCUCAAAGGUCCCAAUUGAAGUUCUCAAUGAAGACAUUGCAAACGUUCUCACUCAGAAAUACCCUGGGAUCACAGUUGUAAACUUAGUCCAUAGUGCAACCUUCAUUGGCUUUAACUACAAAAAGGGCAUGAUAGUUGUGCAUGGGUCUUGUGGUGGUUUGCCAGAAUUUGCAGAAAUAAUUCAGCCAUGCAUUUUACAAGAUGGUGUCAGUUUCAUCAUCAGGAAAUUUUGCUCAUGGUAUAGGGAGCACUACAGAGCCUAUGAGUUGCAUCCAACAAGAGAGCUGGUGAUUCUGGAUGUGAAGGAGCUUGCUGACCCAUACCCUUUGGCUGACUAUAAUGUUGGAUCCAUACGAAUGGUGACAUUAAAGAGAUUUGUACAUGUGACGGGUAACUUCUUUAAUAUGAUAAAAUAAUUACUGUCCAAUAUGUUAAAUAAGAAAUGACUGUCACUCAUGAGUACUUAAAAGGCUGGAAUCUGGCCUUUUAAUUUCUAACAAUUGUCUGCUUUUCUUUUCAGAUUAAAUACAAGAUGGCUGCAACUAUAAGAGUUGUACUUGGAGUAAAUGAUGCAUCCAAACUGGCUCUUCCAACUGGAAUACCAGGUUCAGUGGCAGACCUUAAAGAAGAGAUUAAAAGACAUUUUGGCUUGUCAGGAAACUUUAGACUUCAGUACAGAGACACUGAAUUUGACAAUGAGUUUGUGAACUUGUCAUGUACUUCAGACAUCAAAGACAAGAGCACAGUGAAGAUAAUUUACUUAACAAAUGAUACAAAUGCGUCUCUACCUCACCAUGAGCCCACUGCUUCACCUCAAGGAGUUGAUAAUACGUCUUUAUCAUCUUUUUCAUCAACAUCAGACACUGACAUACUAUCCUCCCCUGGAUCUGCAUCUUCAGGGUCCUCCCUCAGAUCACAGCCAUGGCCUCAUACCUUCCCACUACCUCAGUUCAAUUAUGAGGUCGACGUUCAGCUGGAGAAGGCCAACCUGGCCUUUCACAGCAGUGGAACACUGCUGUGUCCAAGUACCAAACUUAAGUCUGCUAUCCUUGAAAGUUUGGCAUCAGAAAUUAUCAAAUACAAAAUGUAUCCUUCAAGUGCAGACCUUGAUGAUGUGAGUCAAGCUUUGAUAACAAAACAUCCUUGUUUAAAGGAGCAAGGAUCCGUUUCUGGGUACUAUGGUUGGAAAAUCAGUUUAAAAUACAAAAUGGCCAACUACCGCACCAGACUGAGGGGCAUUGGCUGCCCAGAGUUGAGCAUAAAUGCUAUGAAAGAAAAGGAUGGUUCCCUGAACCACAGCCCAAACCAGGUGAAAAAGCCUCGGAAAGCCGAAGUCAACUACUGUCCUGGUUAUCCUGCAGGCGAAUCUAAAGAGAGUCUUGAGGCUGAAAGACAAGCACUUCUAGUGGAGGUGAAAAAGAAGAACCAAGAGCAGAUUAAAAACAAAAUGGAAAGAACAUUUGCCUAUAGAAGGCAGGAAAUUAUCCAGGAUAUGCCCUUCAUCACAGAGUUACGGAGCAGAUGGCCUGCUCUGUUUUCAGAAAGAGAGGUUGAUGCAGAAUUUGCCAGAAUCACCACUGUCCCACUACGGUCUACUUUCAUGUUUCAACUUGAUCGGCAUACUGACAACUUACUGAAGGUCUUCCGUAAGAAGGGAGGGGCAGCAGGACAGAAAAUUAAGGUCAUUUUGGCAGCAAUGGACAAGGAUCCAAGUAUUGAAAAACGGAGAGAUUGUGUGCUCAAAGCAGUGUCUGUGUACCUAAAUGAAGAUCCACAACAUCUCAUUAAGGAAUACAUGGAUCUUGAUCCUGGUGCAAAGAAAGAUAUGGAGGAAACAAUGAUGGGAGUCUACGUCAUUUGGCAUGAGGGAGCAGCGGACACUGAUGAAGCUGAGGAUGUCGGUAUCAUUAUAGAGGGAGUUGAAGUGCUUCAGGGUCUCAGGUAUUUUGCUAAUGGGUGUGCACUACUGCUUGGCCUGAUCUACAGCUUAAAUCUAAGCUAUCCCAAAGACUUAAGAUACACUUUUGAGUUUGUCCAAAAAGUAUUGCUGGAUUUGGAUGGAAACAGAAUGUCUGCAAAGGUGCAGGUCUUGAAAAACCGACUGCACGAGUAGCUUCACUGCACAAGGCAAUAUCUGUGAUGUUCACUGCUUUUUGUUUUACAUGGUGUUAUUAUGUAUACUGUAUCAGCAAUGUUAAAUGUCAGCUGUUAAAGUCUGUUCAGGCUUGCCUUGUUUUUUGCCAUAUGGUGUGCUAAAGUUCUGUCCUUGGAGGUAUCUGCUUGCUUUUGGUAUUUAUUUUUUUACAAAACCAAAAGGCGUUGAAUUUAAUGUCAUAAUGACCAAGCACCAAGUUUCAAUUUUUACUUGAAUACACUAUGAUUAUUAUCGUUGGUUUUGCUUUGUAUUGAAUAGUGUAUCUUUUAAAGGGCCACUGAUGUUUACUGUUUUAUUACAGUUAGAAAAACAUUUGUUGUGAUUCACUUUAAAUUCAAUACCUAAUGGAUAUUUUUGGUUUCACACUGUUUACAUGUGCAGCCUAAUUGAGCCAAAGGCAUAGCUUGACUAAGACAGAUAACUGGACAUAUUGCAGAGUCCAAGUCUACAUGCAGAGGAGAACAUGUUAUCAUUGGCUGUGUUUAGCUUAUCGUUCAAAGUGUUUCUUUACUGUAGCUUUCACUUUUGCCAGAGCCAUUGUAUUGUUGUUGUUUUUUCAGCAACAGUACUGUAGUUCAUACGUUGUCUCCUACUACCUGAAAAGACCGGGAGGAGUAUUUUUUGGUUUGUGGACGAAAAUAGAUUUUAGUUUGGGCUUUGAGAAAUGUGUAAUUUUCUGUUUAAUGGUACAACUCAAUUUUGUUUUAUGGGUAUCUGGGAUGUAACCAGACUGCACUUUUGAUUUAAGCCCAUGUUUAUUUGUGGUCAGUCUUGUCUGAAAAUUAAAAUAAAGGCAGGUGAAAGGA